AUAAGUCCUGACUGGGUAACUGUUGAUGCAGCAAUGAUCACUACUUUCUCAUUAAGAAGAAAGGAGAUUGUGGAAGCUGAGCCCCUUGUGAUUGACAUAAAAUUUAGAUGGCCAGUGCUGUUCAGACAUAAGUUGCUCUGGAGUUCAUGAGACUGGUGUCUGUGGACCUCAAGAAGACAUUUUAUGAAGGCCUGGACAGUCAUCUUUCUAAGCUCCUUGAAUUCUCCCGGGCCAAGAGUGGUGGAGGGAUGGAGCUAAAACACCUUAUGGACAGUCUUGACAAAGACAGUUCCAAUCAAAGGUAGAGUGUGCUGUGCUCCGAGGCUUGCCAGACUUCCUGCGAGAAGACCCUACCAAUUUUUUGAAGACGUGAGGUAUACAACCCUACAACAUAACUUUAUGCUUUC
rnacentral:lncRNA from 1 species